rnacentral:lncRNA from 1 species
UUAAAUACAAACGAAAAUGCUACCGUGUCAAAAUCCAAAAAAAUUUUAGAUCUAAACUAGACCUAAAGUCUUGUUUAGUUCUCAAAAUAUUUUACAAAUUUUUUCAGAUUCUCCGCCAUAUGAAAUCUUACGGCGUAUGCAUGGAACAUUAAAUAUAGAUAAAAGACAGAUUCCUGGUGCUUAAUCUGUCCAGAUCAACGUUCGUCAUGUUCCUUCUUCUCAAGAUAUUCCUGGUGCUUAAUCUGUCCAAGAAAAAUAUAGACAAAAUAUUUUAACAACAUAUACAAAAAAAUCACAAAACACAACUAAAAAGCAAAAUAUUUCUUUAUGCAAGACCUUACUCUCUCCACCUCUCAUGCCACGAAACUUGUCAUUCCCAAUCUCAUAUGCCUCUUGCCCCUCUCUCGCCCUCAUCUAAGGAUUCAGCGCUAGUGAACGCCCUCUGUGCUAGAGUUUGCAUAGACUCACAUCCUCCACCAAAGCUCACAAAGGAGGCCCUCCUCACUGGAUGUUGCCUUGGCUCUGCCUAGCCCAAACCCCAUGUGUCUUACCUCCCUGACAUGACGUGACUCGCCAAACCAUACAAGCUCAUCUAGAAUUGGCGAAAUUUUGUAGAAGGAGAAAAAAAGGAAAAAGAAAACCUAAGCAAAUGACUGAUAGUUCCUAUGAAGCAAAAUAAGCAACAGUGGAUUGUAUAGCUUUGUCUAAGUUAAGAAUAAUGUUGCAUAAAGUCUAAUACAAUAUAAUACUAGUGCGAGCAACCACUCAAAUCCUAAAAAGAGGC